AUUGAACGCUGGCGGCAGGCCUAACACAUGCAAGUCGAACGGUAGCACAGAGAGCUUGCUCUCGGGUGACGAGUGGCGGACGGGUGAGUAAUGUCUGGGAAACUGCCCGAUGGAGGGGGAUAACUACUGGAAAAGGUAGCUAAUACCGCAUAACGUCGCAAGACCAAAGUGGGGGACCUUCGGGCCUCCACCCAUCGGACGGGCCCGGAUGGGAUUAGCUAGUAGGUAGGGUAAUGGCUCACCUAGGCGACGAUCCCUAGCUGGUCUGAGAGGAUGACCAGCCACACUGGAACUGAGACACGGUCCAGACUCCUACGGGAGGCAGCAGUGGGGAAUAUUGCACAAUGGGCGCAAGCCUGAUGCAGCCAUGCCGCGUGUAUGAAGAAGGCCUUCGGGUUGUAAAGUACUUUCAGCGGGGAGGAAGGCGGUGAAGUUAAUAACUUCACCGAUUGACGUUACCCGCAGAAGAAGCACCGGCUAACUCCGUGCCAGCCGCCGCCGUAA
rnacentral:rRNA from 1 species